UGGGGAAUAUUGCACAAUGGGCGCAAGCCUGAUGCAGCCAUGCCGCGUGUAUGAAGAAGGCCUUCGGGUUGUAAAGUACUUUCAGCGGGGAGGAAGGUGUUGUGGUUAAUAACCACAGCAAUUGACGUUACCCGCAGAAGAAGCACCGGCUAACUCCGUGCCAGCAGCCGCGGUAAUACGGAGGGUGCAAGCGUUAAUCGGAAUUACUGGGCGUAAAGCGCACGCAGGCGGUCAGUCAAGUCGGAUGUGAAAUCCCCGGGCUCAACCUGGGAACUGCAUCCGAAACUGGCAGGCUUGAGUCUUGUAGAGGGGGGUAGAAUUCCAGGUGUAGCGGUGAAAUGCGUAGAGAUCUGGAGGAAUACCGGUGGCGAAGGCGGCCCCCUGGACAAAGACUGACGCUCAGGUGCGAAAGCGUGGGGAGCAAACA
rnacentral:rRNA from 1 species